GGUUAAGCGACUAAGCGUACACGGUGGAUGCCCUGGCAGUCAGAGGCGAUGAAGGACGUGCUAAUCUGCGAUAAGCGUCGGUAAGGUGAUAUGAACCGUUAUAACCGGCGAUUUCCGAAUGGGGAAACCCAGUGUGAUUCGUCACACUAUCAUUAACUGAAUCCAUAGGUUAAUGAGGCGAACCGGGGGAACUGAAACAUCUAAGUACCCCGAGGAAAAGAAAUCAACCGAGAUUCCCCCAGUAGCGGCGAGCGAACGGGGAGCAGCCCAGAGCCUGAAUCAGUGUGUGUGUUAGUGGAAGCGUCUGGAAAGGCGCGCGAUACAGGGUGACAGCCCCGUACACAAAAAUGCACAUACUGUGAGCUCGAUGAGUAGGGCGGGACACGUGGUAUCCUGUCUGAAUAUGGGGGGACCAUCCUCCAAGGCUAAAUACUCCUGACUGACCGAUAGUGAACCAGUACCGUGAGGGAAAGGCGAAAAGAACCCCGGCGAGGGGAGUGAAAAAGAACCUGAAACCGUGUACGUACAAGCAGUGGGAGCACGCUUAGGCGUGUGACUGCGUACCUUUUGUAUAAUGGGUCAGCGACUUAUAUUCUGUAGCAAGGUUAACCGAAUAGGGGAGCCGAAGGGAAACCGAGUCUUAACUGGGCGUUAAGUUGCAGGGUAUAGACCCGAAACCCGGUGAUCUAGCCAUGGGCAGGUUGAAGGUUGGGUAACACUAACUGGAGGACCGAACCGACUAAUGUUGAAAAAUUAGCGGAUGACUUGUGGCUGGGGGUGAAAGGCCAAUCAAACCGGGAGAUAGCUGGUUCUCCCCGAAAGCUAUUUAGGUAGCGCCUCGUGAAUUCAUCUCCGGGGGUAGAGCACUGUUUCGGCAAGGGGGUCAUCCCGACUUACCAACCCGAUGCAAACUGCGAAUACCGGAGAAUGUUAUCACGGGAGACACACGGCGGGUGCUAACGUCCGUCGUGAAGAGGGAAACAACCCAGACCGCCAGCUAAGGUCCCAAAGUCAUGGUUAAGUGGGAAACGAUGUGGGAAGGCCCAGACAGCCAGGAUGUUGGCUUAGAAGCAGCCAUCAUUUAAAGAAAGCGUAAUAGCUCACUGGUCGAGUCGGCCUGCGCGGAAGAUGUAACGGGGCUAAACCAUGCACCGAAGCUGCGGCAGCGACGCUUAUGCGUUGUUGGGUAGGGGAGCGUUCUGUAAGCCUGCGAAGGUGUGCUGUGAGGCAUGCUGGAGGUAUCAGAAGUGCGAAUGCUGACAUAAGUAACGAUAAAGCGGGUGAAAAGCCCGCUCGCCGGAAGACCAAGGGUUCCUGUCCAACGUUAAUCGGGGCAGGGUGAGUCGACCCCUAAGGCGAGGCCGAAAGGCGUAGUCGAUGGGAAACAGGUUAAUAUUCCUGUACUUGGUGUUACUGCGAAGGGGGGACGGAGAAGGCUAUGUUGGCCGGGCGACGGUUGUCCCGGUUUAAGCGUGUAGGCUGGUUUUCCAGGCAAAUCCGGAAAACUAAGGCUGAGGCGUGAUGACGAGGCACUACGGUGCUGAAGCAACAAAUGCCCUGCUUCCAGGAAAAGCCUCUAAGCAUCAGGUAACAUCAAAUCGUACCCCAAACCGACACAGGUGGUCAGGUAGAGAAUACCAAGGCGCUUGAGAGAACUCGGGUGAAGGAACUAGGCAAAAUGGUGCCGUAACUUCGGGAGAAGGCACGCUGAUAUGUAGGUGAAGUCCCUCGCGGAUGGAGCUGAAAUCAGUCGAAGAUACCAGCUGGCUGCAACUGUUUAUUAAAAACACAGCACUGUGCAAACACGAAAGUGGACGUAUACGGUGUGACGCCUGCCCGGUGCCGGAAGGUUAAUUGAUGGGGUUAGCGCAAGCGAAGCUCUUGAUCGAAGCCCCGGUAAACGGCGGCCGUAACUAUAACGGUCCUAAGGUAGCGAAAUUCCUUGUCGGGUAAGUUCCGACCUGCACGAAUGGCGUAAUGAUGGCCAGGCUGUCUCCACCCGAGACUCAGUGAAAUUGAACUCGCUGUGAAGAUGCAGUGUACCCGCGGCAAGACGGAAAGACCCCGUGAACCUUUACUAUAGCUUGACACUGAACAUUGAGCCUUGAUGUGUAGGAUAGGUGGGAGGCUUUGAAGUGUGGACGCCAGUCUGCAUGGAGCCGACCUUGAAAUACCACCCUUUAAUGUUUGAUGUUCUAACGUUGACCCGUAAUCCGGGUUGCGGACAGUGUCUGGUGGGUAGUUUGACUGGGGCGGUCUCCUCCUAAAGAGUAACGGAGGAGCACGAAGGUUGGCUAAUCCUGGUCGGACAUCAGGAGGUUAGUGCAAUGGCAUAAGCCAGCUUGACUGCGAGCGUGACGGCGCGAGCAGGUGCGAAAGCAGGUCAUAGUGAUCCGGUGGUUCUGAAUGGAAGGGCCAUCGCUCAACGGAUAAAAGGUACUCCGGGGAUAACAGGCUGAUACCGCCCAAGAGUUCAUAUCGACGGCGGUGUUUGGCACCUCGAUGUCGGCUCAUCACAUCCUGGGGCUGAAGUAGGUCCCAAGGGUAUGGCUGUUCGCCAUUUAAAGUGGUACGCGAGCUGGGUUUAGAACGUCGUGAGACAGUUCGGUCCCUAUCUGCCGUGGGCGCUGGAGAACUGAGGGGGGCUGCUCCUAGUACGAGAGGACCGGAGUGGACGCAUCACUGGUGUUCGGGUUGUCAUGCCAAUGGCACUGCCCGGUAGCUAAAUGCGGAAGAGAUAAGUGCUGAAAGCAUCUAAGCACGAAACUUGCCCCGAGAUGAGUUCUCCCUGACUCCUUGAGAGUCCUGAAGGAACGUUGAAGACGACGACGUUGAUAGGCCGGGUGUGUAAGCGCAGCGAUGCGUUGAGCUAACCGGUACUAAUGAACCGUGAGGCUUAACCUU
rnacentral:rRNA from 1 species